GAGGGCUUGCAGUUGCGUCACAAACCACCUAGCAACCGCAAUUGGAGCCAUGUUGGAAGACCAAUCAGUCUGUUGGAAGUCCUCCAACUGUCCAAAAGGCUGGCUGUGUUCUGCUAUCACUGGAAACUUCGGGAAGAUUGCCCAUUAUUUUGUUUUUCUAAGGACCCAGAAAACGGAGGCAUUGGGAGAACCUAUUCAAAUAUAGAGAGCCGUGAAACCCUGCCUGCAGCUGAAGAGGUCCCAAUGAAUGUCCCAAAAGAAUAAAAGGAGCCUCCCAAGUGACGUAGCGGUCUAAGGCACUGCAUCGCAGUGCUAGAGGCGUUACUACAGACCCAGAUUUGAUCCCAGGCUGUGUCACAGCCAGCUGCGACCAGGAGACCCAUGAGGUGGCGCACAUGCACAAUUGGCCCAGUGUCAUCCAGGUUAGGGGAGGGUGUCCCAUCACGCGCUAGCAACUCCCUGUGCCAGGCCAGUAUGGUGUUUCCUCCGACACAUUGGUGCGCCUGGCUUCUGGGUUAAGUAAACAGUGUGUCAAGAACAUGUGCAGCAUGGCAGGGUUGUGUUUCGGAGGAUGCUUUCAACCUUCACCUCUCACGAGUCCGUACGGGAGUUGCAGCGAUGGGACAAGACUAACUACCAAUUUGGACAUCACAAAAAAGGGGUAAAAAGUACACUUUUUUUUUUUACAAAGAAAUAAGUUAAUUGUUAACUAUAUUAUUCAAGAUGAACUAGUGUCAAUGUCGAUUAACCACAGCUCACAAUCCUGCAAUAAAGAGGGUAAGGGAAUUUGUCUCUAUUCUCAAAUGAGCACUACCUACGUUUUUGUUCAGUUGUAAGCUGUCCAAUUAGUUUGUCACUUUUUUUUCAAGAUACAGCAUCAGCCAUGUGAACCCAUUUUGCAGCUGAUAAUGGCAUGCAAAGCCAAUGCAGUCAUAGACCUACAGCAGUGGUUCCCAACUCCCAUCCUUGAGUACCCCCAAUAGCACAUUUUUGUUGCAGUUCUAGACAAACAUACCUGAUUCAUCUGGUUGAGAGCCUAAUGAUUAGUUGAUAAGUUGAUUCAGGUGUGCUUGUCCGGGGCUACAAUAAAACUGUGUACUGUUGGGGGUACUCAAGGACCGGAGUUGAGAAACACUGGCCUACAGUAUGAUGGCAUUAGCCUUAUGGGCAUUUGCAUUGCACCCCUUAACAUUGUGCACCUGAACCAGAGAACAUCUUAAGUCACACAUUGUUUACAUAUUUUUGAGCCAUAUUCUCAAUUUAAAAACAAUGCCAGUAGACAAUUUGAGGCUAAUCGUUAUGCUAGAUGUUGUACAUACCUUGUGCUGACAUUAAAUUGUUUAGUGCAAAUCCAA